CAAGGAAGACACGUUUAUCGACCGGUCCGAGUGGCUAAGAGCGAGACGAGGCGCAUCGUGUCCCACGCGAUUAGAUUUUUAUGGUGUCUUAUGGGACACGCUGCGGCGAUUCUCUGUCAAUUCAAUCGAGCCCCAACUCGCGCGCGGGGCGACGAGCACUUAAUUUCGGUGUUUAAGUUACUUGAUCGGCUCGGUCGUCUCAUUGGCUGCGUCGUUUCGGGACACGCGUCCGUUUCAUCGUUUAAUCAUCGUUUAACCGCCUCGUUGGACCCUGCCCCGUUAUUAAAAGUGAUGGCGUACAUCUAAUGUCGAUCAAAGAAACUGGAUCGGUCUUUCAACGACGUUGAGCGUUAAGCACUCGUUCGCGAGAUUUUACGUCUCGAUGCUUCAGUACGUCCGUCAGUAUUUGUACCACACAUGCUCCGACGUUUAAGCUCGACGAAAUUACUAGAGCAUGCGAGGAUCACAUCCCGCCAGAUAAUUUCAUGGAGAAAAAUUGAAUCGCGUACGAGAGACGACUUAACCCACUUAGGGGCCGGUGCUUGUUUAGCUCAUUCCGCCAGAACAUAUGGCUUCGUCUUCGCGGAGAAAAGCGAUACUUGAGUCGCGGUCGUUGACCAGCGAGAAGCAAAGACUUGGCUAUGGUUUUUAAGCAGAAUUUUACGUAACGCCUCAUCACGUUUUACACCGCAUGCGUAUAUUAUUAUAUAUGUAUUAUUAUACAAUAUAAGCAGAUUUUACACUGA